GCCUCUGGGUGGGACAGGUUGGGGUUUGGGGUGUGCUCUGUGGGGAAGCUCAUGCCCUCUGCGAUGCCAGCGGGGUUGUCAGUGUAGGAAACUGGGCAGGUUCCCUGACUUGUGAGUUGUUUCCUCAUCUGGAAAAUGUGGAGAAUUAGGCCCUACUUGAGAACAAGAAAAGGUGAGCGUGAAGGCCCAGUACUGUGCGAGGUGCCUAGCAGAGUAUCCUCUGGUCACAGGGUGACACCCUGGACAUUGAGGCCAGGUCAGAGUGUGCACUGGAGACCAGGUAGAGCCUGGAGACCAGGCUGCGUGAGCGAUGCCUCCCUGUGCGGCUCUUCAACUCUGUUUCAGGCACUCACUCUCUGGCAUGUAAUUUCUGCAUUUCUGCACGUGUGGGUGUGGGUGCACGUGUGUCCUGAGGUGUGGAGGCGCAUGCCCACCACAUCUGCCCACGAGCUUGGCACAGCAGCAUCCCCGCAAGGACAGGGGCUGGGCAGGGCAAGGGGCACACACACCAUGGGGCUGCUUAGGAUCCUGGAUGGGGGAUGCCUUCCUCUCCUUCUCCUGUUCUUCAGCCCUGCCCAUGGGUCUGACCCUGACCUGUGAUCUUACCCCAUGUCCCUCACUUCAUCCCCUUAUGAUUUUCCCUCAUCCUCCAAGCUGCCCUCUUCUCAGGCCUUGGCCCCCACCUUGCAAACUUUCCAAGGGACAGGUGCUUGGGACGGAGCAGCGACAAUGUGUGUGGGGGGCCAAGACACCCAAAGCCCUGCUCUGUGUCCCACCUUGUCCUUUGCAAGGCCAAGAGGCCCAGGCCCCUGCUGGAGCCACCUGGUAGCUGGACGGUCUGAAGAGUGGGUCUUGCACAAUCAGUGUCCUCUGUACUGACACUACCUGAUUGAUCAGCCAUGGCCUGGGGGAGGGGCCUGCCAGGGAGCAGCAAAAUGCUGAGGGAGUGUUUGAAAGCUCAGGCCGAGGGUCCCAGGGUCCCAGGGAGCUAUGUGUGGGGAGGCAUCAGGGCUUCCCUCUGUCAACAAGGGUAAGUGUAGGAGCUCGAUGCUCUCGUCCCGCAGUAGAGGGACAAGUUUACACACAGCUUUGCUGUUUCCUAGGAAUCUGUGGGUCACGCCAAUACUGGGCCUCAGCCUCCUUGGGCCCCAGAGACAGAGAAACCACCUGGAGGCCUGCUGAGGACGUUUGGCGACAGAAACACACAUGUGCACAGGGAGAAUGCCAUGGGAACGUGAAGGCAGAGAGCGGUGAUACUUCCACAAGCCAAGGAACCCCAAAGAUUGCCAUCAAACCACAGACACUGAGGAACUACCUUGAUCUUGGACUUCCAGCCUCCAGAACUGUGAGAUGAUAAAUUCCAGCUGUUUAAGCCUCCCUGUUGGUGGCACUUUGUUGUGGCAGCCCUGGCCAACUAACACAACACUCAUUGAACUGGUGCCAGGUGGAUGUUGUAGAGAACCUGUUUGUGUGUUCACCUUCCUCCCAGGGCCCUGCACACAGUAGGCAUUUGCAUUUACUCAUUGUCCACUGAAGAGACUGAAGACCCAGAUGUCUGCAUUUUUUAAAUCAGAGACCUUCAGCUCUGGGGCCAGAUGUCUGCAAUCAAAGUGUUGGCAGGUUCAUUCCCUCCCUGAAGGCUCUGGGAAAGAAUCCUUCCUGGCCUCUCCCUGCCUUCCAGUCAUUCUGGAGGUCCUUGGUGAUUCCUGGCUCAGAGAUGCGUCACUCCAAUCUCUGCCUCUGUUGUCACAUCGCCAUGAGGACUUUUUCCUGCCUCCUGCUUCAUUUUUACACCCAAAUAUUCAUGGCAACUUUGUUCACAAUUCUCAAAAGUUGGAAACAACUCAAAUGUUUAUCAACUGGGGAGUGGACAAAUAAAUCGUGGUACAUGCGUAAAUAAACAACUACUCCACAA